CAGUGGCGGGCGGGUGAGUAACGCGUGGGAACGUGCCCUAAGGUACGGAACAACUGAGGGAAACUUCAGCUAAUACCGUAUGUGCCCUUCGGGGGAAAGAUUUAUCGCCUUAGGAGCGGCCCGCGUUGGAUUAGCUAGUUGGUGGGGUAAAGGCCCACCAAGGCGACGAUCCAUAGCUGGUCUGAGAGGAUGAUCAGCCACACUGGGACUGAGACACGGCCCAGACUCCUACGGGAGGCAGCAGUAGGGAAUCUUGCGCAAUGGGCGAAAGCCUGACGCAGCCAUGCCGCGUGAAUGAUGAAGGUCUUAGGAUUGUAAAAUUCUUUCACCGGGGAAGAUAAUGACGGUACCCGGAGAAGAAGCCCCGGCUAACUUCGUGCCAGCAGCCGCGGUAAUACGAAGGGGGCUAGCGUUGCUCGGAAUUACUGGGCGUAAAGGGCGCGUAGGCGGACAGUUUAGUCAGAGGUGAAAGCCCAGGGCUCAACUUGGAAUUGCCUUUGAUACUGGCUGUCUUGAGUCGGGAGAGGUGAGUGGAAUGCC
rnacentral:rRNA from 1 species